UUAACUCAAAUUUGUAUGGGCGUGGAACAUUUGCCGCUAAGGGUACUGUUCCAACUGCAUCCAAAUUUGAGUUA
rnacentral:pre_miRNA from 1 species